rnacentral:tRNA from 1 species
GUUUUUAUAGUUAAAUUAUAACAUUAGUUUUUCAGACUAAAAGUUUAGGUUAGAGGCCUAAUAAAAAUU